CUAACAAAGUAUUAACUUCAGAAUUGAAUUCCUAUUAAUAAACAUGGAAUAACCUCGGAAUAACAAUACUAUCCUUAUACUAGGUUUAAUCCUUUUAUUAUGGUAACCCAGAAAUUUUAAAAGUAAAAAGACGGAGAAGGAGGUGUGAAAUCGUAUAAAACCUAUGAAAUCACUGCUUUAUUGACAGAUGUAUGUUAGCUUGACAUCUUGACAAGUUGCUGUCGCUGUCAGUUUUGUCGAAAAAUUAUUAAUUUGUUUACUUACAUAAUUAAUAUGCAAUUCAAUUUAUAAAUAACGAAAAACGAGCGAAAAGCACAGCCGCGCUAUUAACUAGCGCAAAGAACAAAAGGUAAAUACUCCCGAUGCCUGUUAAUUAUGGCGUAUCUUAACAAAGAAAAAAUGUCUUCAUAUUGUUUAUAUAUUUUUAGAUUUCAGCCAUAAAAUUAUAACGCCUCGGUUCCAAAAUAAUAUUUUCAAAUCAUUGAAAAUAAAUCGUUAAGCACAAACACCAACACAAUCAAGAUAAAAGAGUGGGAGGAAAUAUAAAUAUACCCUAUACAAGGUUUAACGAGUUGAAUAGCAGACGUGAGUUAAAUCAGCUGAAAAUUCAGUAGAAAGCCAUGAAGAUCAAUGCUCGAAAACAAGAAGCUAAGGCAACAGGCCACUUGGAUUGAUAUUUACCUCUCCAUGGGCCUAUGUUCCGAUUGCACUCAAAACUUUCAAAUGGGGUGGUAUAAAGCCACCUCUGGCGUCACCAGCUAGAUUAUUUUUACCAUGUCAAUAAUAAAAACUGCAGUAAAUCGGUA